AUGCCCAUACCAGCACCUUUAAGGCCAGCCUCUCCGUAUUUAUCAUAGAGGGAGCGUUUCUCAUCAUCAGACAAGACUUCAUAAGCAUUACUAAUUUCCUUGAAUUUUUGUUCAGCUCCAGCAUCUUUGUUCACAUCCGGAUGGUAACUCCUAGCAAGUUUCCGGUAAGCACUCUUAAUUUCAGAUUUACUGGCAGUUUUGGACACCCCAAGGAUAGAGUAAUAAUCACUAUCUGCUCUAACAACAAGCACCCCGCCUCUUCGUCGAUGUGAAGUUUGUGAGGAUCUUGUGUCAAAUAGAACACCGAAGGAACCUCGAGAGAAGAAACUUGAGCUCAAUGAAGCUAUGUUGCUAAUCCUGCUUGUGACACCAUAUUGGAUUGAAGAU
rnacentral:misc_RNA from 1 species